rnacentral:rRNA from 1 species
GACGAACGCUGGCGGCGUGCUUAACACAUGCAAGUCGAGCGGUAAGGCCCUUUCGGGGGUACACGAGCGGCGAACGGGUGAGUAACACGUGGGUGACCUGCCCUUAGCUCUGGGAUAAGCCUGGGAAACUGGGUCUAAUACCGGAUAUGACCUCAUGACGCAUGUUGUGGGGUGGAAAGCCUUGUGCGGCUAGGGAUGGACCCGCGGCCUAUCAGCUUGUUGGUGGGGUAAUGGCCUACCAAGGCGACGACGGGUAGCCGGCCUGAGAGGAUGGCCAGCCACAUUGGGGACUGAGAGACGGCCCAGACUCCUACGGGAGGCAGCAGUGGGGAAUCUUGCGCAAUGGCCGAAAGGCUGACGCGGCGACGCCGCGUGGGGAGGAAGGCCUCGG